CAAAGGAAUUGACGGGACCGCACAAGCGGUGGAUGAUGUGGUUUAAUUCGAUGCAACGCGAAAACCUUACCCACCUUUGACAUGUACGGAACCCUUUAGAGAUAGAGGGGUGCUCGAAAGAGAGCCGUAACACAGGUGCUGCAUGGCUGUCGUCAGCUCGUGUCGUGAGAUGUUGGGUUAAGUCCCGCAACGAGCGCAACCCUUGUCAUUAGUUGCUACAUUCAGUUGGGCACUCUAAUGAGACUGCCGGUGACAAGCCGGAGGAAGGUGGGGAUGACGUCAAGUCCUCAUGGCCCUUAUAGGUGGGGCUACACACGUCAUACAAUGGCUGGUACAAAGGGUUGCCAACCCGCGAGGGGGAGCCAAUCCCAUAAAGCCAGUCGUAGUCCGGAUCGUAGUCUGCAACUCGACUACGUGGAGUCGGAAUCGCUAGUAAUCGUGGAUCAGAAUGUCACGGUGAAUACGUUCCCGGGUCUU
rnacentral:rRNA from 1 species